rnacentral:rRNA from 1 species
GGGCCGCGGUAUUCCUGACCGUGCGAAGGUAGCAUAAUCAUUAGUCUUUUAAUUGAAGGCUUGUAUGAAGGGUUGGACGAGAGAAAAGCUGUCUCAGCCAAAGACUUGAAAUUAACUUUUAGGUGAAAAGGCCUAAAUGACUUGGAAAGACGAUAAGACCCUAUAAAUCUUGAUAUUAAUUUAAAUUAGUCUUUUUAUUUAUAUAUAUAUAAAAGCACUACUUUGCUAAUAUUCUGUUGGGGCGACAAAAAUAUAAUAAGAUGACCUGUUUUAUGUUAAGCACAAUUUUUUUUGAAUAUUAUAAAGAUCCUUAUUAGAGAUUAAGAGAUUAAGUUACUUUAGGGAUAACAGCGUUAUUUUCCUCGAGAGUUCAUAUCGAAAGGAGAGUUUGCGACCUCGAUGUUGAAUUAAAAUUUCUAUGUGGUGCAGCCGCUACAAAAGAAAGUCUGUUCGACUU